CACUUCAAUAUCAGCAAUUCUAUAAAACUAUAGAACUUUUCAUGUUAAAACUAGUAACAAGAAGACCUAACUUCUCUCAAAUGCAAGCAUAAGUCAGAUAGGACUAACCACUGACUCUUAACAUACGUGAUUUUACAGUAAAAACAAUACAAGAAAAUCCUACUAAACUAAAUGUUAACCUAACACAAGAGCAUUACAAGAAAGAUUUAAAGAAAAAGAAGGAACUCGGCAAAUUUUAACCCCGCCUGUUUACCAAAAACAUCGCCUCUUGAACAAUCUAUAAGAGGUCCAGCCUGCCCAGUGACUCUGUUCAACGGCCGCGGUAUCCUAACCGUGCGAAGGUAGCGUAAUCACUUGUUCUUUAAAUGAGGACUUGUAUGAAUGGCACCACGAAGGUUAUACUGUCUCCUCUCUCUAAUCAGUGAAACUAAUCUCCCCGUGAAGAAGCGGGGAUAACUAUAUAAGACGAGAAGACCCUAUGGAGCUUUAAACCAAGUGGCAACUGCAUUAGUAACAUUUAAAUUUCAGAAAACUAACUUUCACCAAAGCAUUAUUGCUCCUAGUUUUAGGUUGGGGCGACCACGGAGUAAAAACUAACCUCCGCAAUGAAUGGGGAACUCCCCCCUAAACCAAGGACCACAGCCCAAAGAAUCAUUACAUUGACAUAAAUUGACCCAAAAACUUGACCAAUGAACCAAGUUACCCUAGGGAUAACAGCGCAAUCCACUUCAAGAGCCCAUAUCGACAAGUGGGUUUACGACCUCGAUGUUGGAUCAGGGUAUCCCAGUGGUGUAGCCGUUACUAACGGUUCGUUUGUUCAACGAUU
rnacentral:rRNA from 1 species